UGAGUAUAGCAUUAUACAGCGAAACUGCGAAUGGCUCAUUAUAUAAGUUAUCGUUUAUUUGAUAGUACCUUACUACUUGGAUAACCGUGGUAAUUCUAGAGCUAAUACAUGCUGAAAAUCCCGACUUCGGAAGGGAUGUAUUUAUUAGAUUAAAAACCAAUGCCCUUCUGGGCUCUCUGGUGAUUCAUGAUAACUUCUCGAAUCGCACGGCCUCGCGCCGGCGAUGGUUCAUUCAAAUUUCUUCCCUAUCAACUUUCGAUGUUUGGGUAGUGGCCAAACAUGGUUGCAACGGGUAACGGAGGGUUAGGGCUCGACCCCGGAGAAGGAGCCUGAGAAACGGCUACUACAUCCAAGGAAGGCAGCAGGCGCGCAAAUUACCCAAUCCCGACACGGGGAGGUAGUGACAAUAAAUACUGAUACAGGGCUCUUUCGGGUCUUGUAAUUGGAAUGAGUACAAUUUAAAUCCCUUAACGAGGAACAAUUGGAGGGCAAGUCUGGUGAACGCAGCCGCGGUAAUCCAGCUCCAAUAGCGUAUAUUAAAGUUGUUGUGGUUAAAAAGCUCGUAGUUGAACCUUGGGCCUGGCUGGCCGGUCCGCCUCACCGCGUGUACUGGUCCGGCCGGGCCUUUCCCUCUGUGGAACCCCAUGCCCUUCACUGGGCGUGGCGGGGAAACAGGACGUUUACUUUGAAAAAAUUAGAGUGCUCCAGGCAGGCCUAUGCUCGAAUACAUUAGCAUGGAAUAAUGAAAUAGGACGCGCGGUUCUAUUUUGUUGGUUUCUAGGACCGCCGUAAUGAUUAAUAGGGACAGUCGGGGGCAUCAGUAUUCAAUUGUCAGAGGUGAAAUUCUUGGAUUUAUUGAAGACUAACUACUGCGAAAGCAUUUGCCAAGGAUGUUUUCAUUAAUCAGGAACGAAAGUUAGGGGAUCGAAGACGAUCAGAUACCGUCGUAGUCUUAACCAUAAACUAUGCCGACUAGGGAUCGGACGAUGUUAUUUUUUGACUCGUUCGGCACCUUACGAGAAAUCAAAGUGCUUGGGCUCCAGGGGGAGUAUGGUCGCAAGGCUGAAACUUAAAGGAAUUGACGGAAGA
rnacentral:rRNA from 1 species